GGAGGAAUAUUGGUCAAUGGUCGGGAGACUGAACCAGCCAAGCCGCGUGAGGGAUGAAGGUACAGAGUAUCGUAAACCUCUUUUGUCAGGGAACAAAAGGCGCCACGCGUGGCGCUCCGAGUGUACCUGAAGAAAAAGCAUCGGCUAACUCCGUGCCAGCAGCCGCGGUAAUACGGAGGAUGCGAGCGUUAUCCGGAUUUAUUGGGUUUAAAGGGUGCGUAGGCGGCGAGUUAAGUCAGCGGUAAAAGCCCGGGGCUCAACCCCGGCCCGCCGUUGAAACUGGCUUGCUUGAGUUGGAGAGAAGUAGGCGGAAUGCGCGGUGUAGCGGUGAAAUGCUUAGAUAUCGCGCAGAACUCCGAUUACGAAGGCAGCCUACCGGCUCCAGACUGACGCUGAGGCACGAAAGCGUGGGUAUCGAACAGGAUUAGAUACC
rnacentral:rRNA from 1 species